UCUGCACUAAAUAGUCUAUCCUAACGUGAGAUUUAAUUAUUUUUUUUCACGAAUGCAAGACAACAUUUUGUGAUAAAUUAAUAUUUAUGUCUUAUUUACGAAAAGUAGUGUUAUCGAUUUCACCGACGUUCACUCAACCAACACCAGCCUGUCUGCAUUUGGGAUGUCUUCUUCCUACCAAGAGCUCCGUGGUGCUCUCCUCUGUCCUGCUCCAGCUGGUUUUCUAUAUUACAGGAAUCUACUAUGUCAUUUACUUCCUGUCUUCUGUCAGCCUAAUCAUCUACAAGAGCUACGUGCUGAGCUACCCCGAUAGGCACCUGGCAGUGGACCUGUUCCUCCUCUUCAUCAUGGCUGUGCUGGAGGGCCUACGUCUCUACUGGGGUGUGUGCGGUAACCUGACGGAGAGCGAGGGCUACAUCAGCAUGAAUCUGGGCUCCACAGUGGGCUCCGUCAUGCUGGCUGUCUACUUCCUGGUGUGGCAGUCCUACGUGCUGCGCGCCGAUGUCAUCAUCAACGGCAUCCUUCUGGCCGGCUACGGCCUCAACGGCCUGCUGGGACUCUUCACCUUUGCCCGUUUCAGCAGUGUCUACACCUGAGAGGGUCUUUCAGCUUCCCAUGAUGCUCUCUGCUGAGGUGCUGCUGUAGUGACCUGGGCAGGCCUGUCCGUCACCUACGAGCUGAGAGAGAGAGAGAUGUGUGUGUGUGUGUGUGUGUGUGUGUGUGUGUGUGUGUGUGUGUGAACCCAUGAGUGAAAUACAGGUCUUUUGUGUGUGUGUGUGUGUGUGUGUGUGUGUGAACCCAUGAGUGAAAUACAGACUGUGGACCGUUCGAGUCGUUGUGAAUGCAGACCACCCUAUCAGUGAGAAACAGACAUGUUGCACUGCAAGAGAGAGAACAGGGACUGAGACUCUCUCACCCUCUAUUCUAUCUCUCCCCCCCCCCUCUCUCUCUCUGACAUCAUGUGUCUGAUCACCAAUAGCUAUGCUGGGUGAAACUGUUUGCGUUCCUGUCACCCGUUCCAUCUGCAGCAUGCCAUCGAGAGGUGGGGCUUUGUGUUCCGGAUGAAUACACUUGUAGGCAAGGACGGGUCAACUACUAGAGCACCACUGGAGAGUGUGAGUGGUCUCUCUGAUCUCCUGUGUGUGUGUGUGUGUGUGUGUGUGAGAGUUAGGGGAGCUUAGCUAAGUGCCUCGGCAGGUGAAUGUCUGUGUUAGCAUAUAUAUGCGUGUGUGUGUUUGAGAUGUGUUGUUAACUGCUGCUAACUUAAUUUGAAACGGAUCAUGGUGCAGCUUUAUGUUUCCAUCUUACAGCAGUGUGCUCUCCACACACACACAUCUUUACAGAGCACACUCAGGGACAGACGUCUCUGUAAGCUGUGUGGUAAACAUGGGGAAGUGUAAAUUAGAGGGACACACGUAUAGUCCAUUAUAUGGAAUACAGUAUGUCCAUGUGAAGUAGCCUGGCCCCACCCACCUAGAUCUUCUUUCAGGAAGAUCUCGUUCAAAACCGUAUCCUACAGACAAGAAAAAUGUCAGGCCAAUCAGCGACAAGAGGGGAUGACGAAACUGAAACUUAGUGUGAUAAACAGAAGCAGCCAACACCUGCAAACAAAAUUUAUUUACAGCAAAGAUAGACCCACAUUGUUUAUUGUCUGUAGGUGCCUUUUAUUGUCAGUUUGUAGGGGUAGUAUGAACUAACGUUAGGAAUCUCUGAUCAAUGGGAUUGAUAAGGCUGGACUAAUGAUUUCAAAGUUAGUGCCCGUGUUGCAAACGUUUCCCAGUCGAGAGUCACCAGACUCUAUUAACUUUGUGAAUGAGUUUGGAUUUUUCCAGACUACAUGUGAAGGCUAGGGGGGCUGUUCACUAAGAUAUCUCAUAGGGUAAGGGGGCGUUCGCAGGGGAAUGUCUAGCUCUCAGAGCGGAAGGCUUUUAUGCUGGGGAUUCUCACUCAACACACCAUAUCUGUGAGGAUGAUGAGUUGUACUGACAAAAACAUCUCGAAUUGUGCUAUAUCAUAACAGCAGUGAAUAGUGGUGUGUGUUGUGACAUUUUCUCUGUGUGUGUGUGUGUGUGUGUGUUAGAGAGUGAGAGAUAGCGAUAGCUAGACAGGAGGAUUAUAGAAGGGGCAGAGGAGAUAUUUGAUAGGCGCAGACUAAGACUUCGCUCUAGAGUUGCUCUCAUCCCUCAGCACUGACAGCCCAGUUAAUGAUCAACCUCCAGCCAAGGUCUCCCGAGCGACUAAAUCA